GAAUAACUUCCAUGAAACGGACGAAUUCAACGGAGGAAACUCGACUCUUGAUGAUUCUCAAAUUGAGGAUGAAAAAACGAUUAAUUUGGAUGAAGAAGGUGCUGAAAAUGGAGAAGAAGACCCGGAUCAGGCGAUGAUUAACCUUUUUGGUACGGAAAAUUUAUGGAAAAUGGCAAAAAACAUACAAAAAAUUUCCAAAAAAGCUGGAAAAAUCGAAAAAAACUGCAGUUUUCACUAUUCUUUUUGUUACAAAAAUCGUAAAAUUGUUCCACUUUCUGUCUAUAAGUUCUCUGGAAAAAUCGAUAGAAACCGCCUGAAAAUCUCUGAAUUUUCAGCUGAAAAAGCUACAAAAAAUUGGCAUUUUUCGUCGAAAAAUUGUUCAAAAAUUGUGAUGAUUUUCCAGUGGAAAUAUAGAAAAAAAUCAACGAAAAUUGACUGAAAUUUCAGCAUUUUUAGCUGUGAAAAUCAAAAAAAAAAACUGGUUUUUACCAACGGAAAACGUGAAGAAAAUUUUGGAAAACCACUGAAAAAUUGGCAAAAUUAUGCUUUUUUUACAAUUUUCCUCUGAAAAUGUGUUCGUUACUCAAUGUUUUCUAUUAAAACACCAAAAACAGAAAAAAAAAAGAAUUAUUUCUCGUUUAGAAACGCUUUUAUUCUAAAAAAUGGAAAAAAACGAAAAAAAAUUUUGAGAAAAAACCGAAAAAAUUGAAAAAAAAGUUAUCAAAUUUUUUUAAAUCGAAAAGAAAAAUGUUAUAAAAGAAAAACCGAAAAAAAUGAAUAAAAAAUGAAAAAAAAAACAAAAAAAAAAAUGACAGAAAACCAAAAAAGCAAAUGAAAAAACGAAAAAAAAAAUGAAAAAAAAAAAAAAUGAAAAAAAAAACGAAAAAAAAAUGACAGAAAAACGAAAAAAAAACCCAAAAAAAAUGAAUAAAAAAUUUAAAAGAAAAACCAAAAAAAAAUGAAAAAAAAUGGAAAAAACGAAAAAAAAAAUGAAAAAAAAAACAAAAAAAAUGAGAGAAAAACGAAAAAAAAAUGAAAAAAACAAUUUUUUUACUAUUAUAAAAAAAAAUUUUGAAUAAAAAAACCGAACAAAAAAUAAAAAAAAUAAUAAAAAAAAAUUUUAAUGUGAUAAAAAAAAUCAUAUUCCGUCGUUUAUUAUCUCGAAAAAGUGCAAUUUUCAGCGAAAAACCCGACGGUAACUACUCCAGCAUCAAAAUUGAGAUCGAAUCAAUUCUAUUUCGGACGAGAUUCGCUUGGAUAUCAGAAUAAAACCGUCCGCCUCAUGAUUCUCCAUGAAAUGAUCUAUAAUUUUGUACAUGGACAUCCGAUUGACACGUCUCCGACGGCUUUUGAUUUGUACGUUUUUUUUGGAAAAGAAAAUAUAAGCCAAAAAAUACAAUAAUUUUCGAAAAACAACACGAAAUUAAAAAAUUGAAUGUGAAAAAAGCAGAAUUUAAGAGAAAAGCAGUGAAAUUCGCUGAAAAUUGUGUAAUAUAUUUUGGACAAUUUUUUGGACAGUUUUCUUGUAAAUUUUGUAUUAAAAAAAAGUGUCAAUUGGCUGAAAUUUGUUAUUUUUUGAAUUCAGCAUUUAGUACUGGAAAUAUGCAUUUUCACAAAAUCUAAAAUAAUCUAAAUUUGAAAAAAAAAAACGAAAAAAGGAUUAGAUGAAGCUGAAAAAAAAACACGCAAAUUUCUUGAAAAUAUAAAAAUACGAAUAAGAUUUUUUAUUAAAAAAUGAACCAAAAAUUGAUUAAAAACAGAAAAAAUGACAAAAUUUCAACAAAAAAAAAAUUGAAAAAAAUUUGAUGCAACCGAUAUGAAAUUUGAGAUCAUAUGGAGAAAUGAGCAGAAAAAAGCAGAAUUAACGAAAAAUUCUGAAAACUUGGGUUUUUUGUUUAAAGGAGAGGACUAACAACGGCUCGGAGUUCAAAUGAACGAUUUUCGUAAUGAAACUGCUCAAAAUUUUUGUCAAAAAUUUUUUAUGGCGGUUCAAGAUUUCCGGGUCCCACCACGAAAACUCCAGGGUCACUGUAGUUUUCGCGGUGAGACCCGGAAAUUUUAUUUUUCCUAAAUCUCUCUGAACCCGCCGGUCAUAAUUAUACUUAAAUGAAAGCUUACGGCGAGCUGAAUUCGAAUACUAAGUGUAUGGUUGAGCUACAGAAACCUGACGCUGAAUUUCGCGGCGAGACCCGAAAAUUACCAAAAACUCUCAAAAACCGUCAGAAUCGAUCAAAAUAUGCCAAGAUUAUACUUAAAGGAGGACGACUAACGGUUCGGACGAUUUUGAACGUAUAGACCAAAAAUAAGCUCAAAUGAACGAAUUUCGUAAUGAAACUGCUCAAAAAAUUUUCAAAAAUGUUUUAUGGCGGUUGAAAAUUUUGAAAAAAUUACACUGAUUUUGGCUAAAAUCAUGAAUUUUUCUCAUUUUUUCGUGUCACAUCUGUCCGAAGUUGGAUUUUUUGGAAUUAUCGUCCUUUAUUACAUAUAUUGGUAGUUUAUCUCAUUUAAUUUCGUUGAUUAAAGUGCAUUUAAACCCGAUAGGUAACCAAUUUUGAUGAUUUUUGGUCACCUAUCGGGUUUAAAUGCACUUUAAUCAACGAAAUUGACUGAGAUUAAUUACCAAUAUAUGUAAUAAAGGAUGAUAAUUCCGAAAAAGUCAACUUUGGACAGAUGUGACACGGAAGAAUGAGAAAAAUUCGUGAUUUUAGCCAAAAGCAGUGUAAUUUUUCAUUUUUUGAACCGCCAUAAAAAAUUUUGAAAUUUUUUUUGAGCAGUUUCAUUACGAAAUUCGUUCAUUUGAGCUUAUUUUUGGUCUAUACGUUCAAAAUCGUCCGAACCGUUAGUCGUCCUUUAAAAUUCUUAAUUUUUUGCUCUGAAAAUCUCAAUUUCAAAAAAAAAAAAAUCCACAACGAUGGUUGGGGUUUUGUUUUGAAAAAAAAAACAUGAUGUUCCGUACAAUUUAUGAUUAUUUUUGAAUUUUAAUCAUUUUCACAAACUGUUUUGAACACUUCACUGCAACUUUUUCCUCACGAGGGACGAGGAAAAGUGGUUUCUAGGCCAUGGCCGAGGGGCCGACAAGUUUCAGCGGCCAUUUAUCUUGCUUUGUUUUCCGCCUGUUUUCUUUCGUUUUUCAUUGAUUUUUUUCGAUUUUUCUUAAUAAAUCUGAUAAAUAAAUAUUUUUUGCAGAUGCUAAAACAAUUUCCAAGUAAAAAAAUUAUGCAUUCAGUCGGCAAGUAGCAGUGAAAGUGGGCAUUGUAAUAUGAUGGAUUACGGGAAUACAAACCCUAAACUUUUUCUGGAACAUGAUACAUAUGCUGCUUAGAUGUUGAAACUACCUGAUUUUCAUAACGAGACCGCUGAAAAAGUUUUGAGGUUUUCAAAAUUCAACUUUUUGUGCGAAAAUCUCGACUUUUUCACCAAAAAAGUUGAAUUUUGGAAACCUCAAAACUUUUUCAGCGGUCUCGUUAUGAAAACAGGUAGUCUCAGCAUUUAAGCAGCAUAUGUAUCAUGUUUCAAAAAAAGUUUAGGUUUUGUAUUCCCGUAAUCCAUCAUAUUACAAUGCCCACUUUCACCGCUGCUUGCUCACUGAAUACAUGAUUUUUUUACUUGGAAAUUGUUUUUGCAUCUGCAAAAAAUAUUUAUUUAUCAGUUUUAAUAAGAAAAAACGGGAAAAAGUUGUGAAAAACGAAAGAAAACAGGCGGAAAACAAAGCAAGAUAAAUGGCCGCUGAAACUUGUCGGCCCCUCGGCCAUGGCCUAGAAACCACUUUUCCUCGUCCCUCGUGAGGAAAAAGUUGCAGUGCCUAAAAAUUCCACCUACUAUUUUCCAGAUUCCCACCAACUCAACCAUAUCGUUCAUGGGAAGUACGUGAUGAUUCAAAUGCAUAUGUAUAUUUAGAAGAAGAAUCUCCAUAUCGUUUUAUGCCACCACAACCACAAUAUGAUGGAGUUGAUCGGGGAUGGUUUAUGACAUUGGAUCUACUUGCCGCGUUGCCGCUAUCGGUUUUUGUGCUCACCAAUUAUGUGCCAAAUACUAUUGAUGUGAGAAGAUUUCUCUAGAUUUCUCUGGGAAAUUAAAAUAAUGGUGUACAAUUCCGCGGAAAGAUUUAAAAAAAGCCUGUAAAUUUCCAGAUUUUCAGCAAAAAAAUUGGGUUUUUACCCCAGAAUUGCAAGAAUUCUCUGGAAAAAAAACCAAAAAUAAUACAGUAGUAAAUUCCGUAGAAAUCUUUAAAGGUGGAGUAGAGUUUGUGGGUAUUUUUCAAUUUAGAUAUUUUUCAAAAUUUUUUAAAUGAAAAGUGGAAAAAAACGGGGAAAAAUACGAUUUUCAGUAGAAAUUUAAUUUUUUUAAUUUCUAUGUUUUAGUUUUCCACUUUUUAAUAACAACAUUUCUAAAAAAAAAUCUAAAUUGGCGGAAAAGUGUGCUGAGAUCCUAGAAAAAUGUUAAAAAACGUUAAAAUCUGGGUUUUGUUCUACAAAAAGAAGUAUAUUUUCGGUAAAAAUCGAAUUUUUCUUUGAAAUUUUGCACAUUUUCAUCCAAAAAUCUAGCUUUUGUCAGCCAAAAUCUGACCAAAAAUCUCAAACUUUUCGGGUAAAAACCAAAAUUUUUGAUGAAAAUCUGGGAUUUUACGGGUUUUUUAAAGGGAGAGUCGAGUUUGUGGGUAUUUUGUUGAAAUAGACUAAAACUGGUCCAAAACCACCAAAUUUCAUAAUAAGACUUCACAAAAAAUUUCCCAAAAUUUUUUAAGGCCGAUCAAAACAUCGAAAAAGAGCAAAAUUUUGCUAAAAUCUGAAAUUUCGCACACUUUUUUUUUGUCACAGCCGCUGGAUUCUAGUUUUUUCUGAAAUUAUCACACUUUAUUCCUUAUUCUGGUAAUUUAUCUCGCGGAAAUUCGUUGAUUGAGACAAUUUUUAGGCCGAUAGGCAUCCAAUUUUGAUCAUUUUUGGAUGCCUACCGGCCUAAAAGCUGUCUCAAUCAUCGAAUUUCCGCGAAAGGGUGAUAAUUUCAGAAAAAACUAGAAUCCAGCGGCUGUGACAAAAAACAAAGUGUGCGAAAUUUCAGGUUUUAGCAAAAUUUGGCUCUUUUUUUUUCGAUGUUUUGAACGGACAUAAAAAAAAUUUUGGAAAUUUUUCGUGAAGUCUCAUUAUGAAAUUUGGUGGUUUUGGACCAAUUUUAGUGUAUUUCAACAAAAUACCCACAAACUCUACUCCCCCUUUAAAAAAACCCGUAAAAUCCCAGAUUUUCAGCAAAAAUUUUGGUUUUUACCCGAAAAGUUAUAGAUUUUUGGUCAGAUUUUGGUCCAAAAUCAAGAUUUUGGCUGACAAAAGCUAGAUUUUCGGAUGAAAAUGUGCAAAAUUUCAAAAAAAAAUUCGAUUUUUACCGAAAAUAUCUUUUUUCGGAAAAAAAACCCAGAUUUUAGUGUUUUUAAACAUUUUUCUAGGCUCUCAGCACACUUUUCCGCCAAUUUAGAUUUUUUUGUUUGAAAUGUUGUUAUUAAAAAGUGGAAAAACUAAAACAUAGAAAUUAAAAAAAUUAAAUUUCUACUGAAAAUCGUAUUUUUCCCCGUUUUUCUCCACUUUUCAUUUAAAAAUUUUGAAAAAUAUCUAAAUUAGCGGAAAAGUAUGCUGAGAGCCUAUAGAAAAAUGUUGAAAAAUGCUAAAAUUUGGUUUUUUUUUUUUGGAAAAAAUCGAGUAUUUCCUCCCAGAAUAUUUGCACAUUUUUCUCAAUAAAAACCUAGUUUUUAUCGGAAAAUCGUGGGAUUUUCAGCCAAAAUCUCUUGAUUUUCAACUAAAAAAAGUAGUUUUCGAGUUAAAAAACCCCGAGUUUCCCUAAUUUUUUUGAUUUUCAAAUGUUAGAAAUCCUAAAAAAAAUGUUGAAAAAAAAUUAAUUUGAAAUUUUUAAUUAUAUUAUCAAAAAGGAAAUAUUUUUUGUCCUCUAUUAAAUUAACUUAUCGCUCGAAAUUGUCGAAUUUUGCACGAAAUUUUCUCAGAUUUUACGCUAGGAGCUCUAUUUUUAACCGAAAAAUCUCAGAUUUUCAGCCCCAAUUGUUGGUUUUUAUUUUUUUGAUAAUCUUCAAAUUUUUACAUAUGAAAAUCCCGAAUUUUGUGCAAAAAAUCAGUUUUUCAGUAAAAAAAAACGAAUUUUCACGGAGUUUCACUAGAAAUGUUUCGAAUUUUCCGGUAAAAACAUCUUUUUUUUUCCCGAAAAUUUUCAGCUUUUCAGUCAAAUUCUCAGAUUUUAGAACAAUUUUUAACGGAAAAAUCCCGAAUUUUUAGUCAAAAUCACUGCAACUUUUUCCUCACGAGGGACGAGGAAAAGUGGUUUCGAGGCCAUGGCCGAGGGGCCGACAAGUUUCAGCGGCCAUUUAUCUUGCUUUGUUUUCCGCCUGUUUUCUUUCGUUUUUCACAGCUUUUUCCCGUUUUUUCUUAUUAAAACUGAUAAAUAAAUAUUUUUUGCAGAUGCUAAAACAAUUUCCAAGUAAAAAAAUUAUGCAUUCAGUCGGCAAGUAGCAGUGAAAGUGGGCAUUGUAAUAUGAUGGAUUACGGGAAUACAAAACCUAAACUUUUUUUGAAACAUGAUACAUAUGAUGCUUAGAUGCUGAGACUACCUGAAUUUCAUAACGAGACCGCUGAAAAAGUUUUGAGGUUUCCAAAAUUCAACUUUUUGUGCGAAAAUCUCGACUUUUUUACCAAAAAAGUUGAAUUUUGGAAACCUCAAAACUUUUUCAGCGGUCUCGUUAUGAAAACAGGUAGUCUCAGCAUUUAAGCAGCAUAUGUAUCAUGUUUAAGAAAAAGUUUAUGUUUUGUAUUCCCGUAAUCCAUCAUAUUACAAUGCCCACUUUCACCGCUGCUUGCUCACUGAAUACAUGAUUUUUUUACUUGGAAAUUGUUUUAGCAUCUGCAAAAAAUAUUUAUUUAUCAGUUUUAAUAAGAAAAAACGGGAAAAAGUUGUGAAAAACGAAAGAAAACAGGCGGAAAACAAAGCAAGAUAAAUGGCCGCUGAAACUUGUCGGCCCCUCGGCCAUGGCCUAGAAACCACUUUUCCUCGUCCCUCGUGAGGAAAAAGUUGCAGUGAAAAUCUUUCUAUUUUCCUCUGUUUUUCAGCGUCCUCUCCUGCUCACAUACCUCAACGACCCGGUAAAACGUCAUUUAUGUAUUGGAUAUCUACCCGAUUCAAUUCGUGAUCCAAUUAUGAAGAAUAAGAAAAUUGUCAAACAACUUCAACAUAGUUUCCUAUGUCUCGCAGGAAUGCGACUGGCUGCUGUUGGACCGAAUCCAUCGGUCAAAAGAUUUCCGGGAGCUACUUCGGAGAUGUAUUAUGUCGCGAGAAG
rnacentral:sRNA from 1 species